GGAGAGAUGGCCGAGUGGCUGAAGGCACGCGACUGGAAAUCGCGUAACGUCGAAAGGCGUUCGAGGGUUCGAAUCCCUCUCUCUCCG
rnacentral:tRNA from 1 species